UGUUGACCAGCUUGGUCUUGAACUUUUGGCUUCAACUGAUCUGCCCACCUCAAAUCUGCCUUUCUUUACCUACAAAUGUCUUGGUAAAUUUUUACUGCCUACACAAUACUGACCUAACAUAAUUGCUACCUGUGACAAUGUUGUGUGUCACAUUACUGGGGAAGAAGGUCUGUGGCUUUCAUCAGGUAGUCCCAGGACUUGUCACCUUCAGCUAGUUCAAAUCCACUCUCCAACCCAGUCACUGGGGAUGAAGAGAGAGAGACCUGAGGAGAGGAGUGUGGGUGAAGGUUCUGUGGGCGGGUGACAGCAAGGCCUGGAUGAGGAACAAAAUAUACUAAGACCUGGAUUGCUGUUUCCCCCAUUAUUGUGUCUUUUGAAUAACUCACUGGAAGGACCCCAAGGAAGCUUAAUUUUGGAACUUAGAGAAGUGUGACAGAUGUAAACCAUGCUUUUCUUAACUGGGAAUUAAUAAGUAAACAGGAACUCCCCAGCUUCUAGAAUGGAAGAGGAUAUUAGGAUACUCCUGGUCAUGACUUUGUAUUUUAAAAUACUACUUGCCAAUGUUCUCAAAAUUUUGUAUAAAUAUUAACUCAUUAAUCUUCAUAUUUGUUCCAUAAGACAGAUUUUUGUUUUUUUAGUUUGAGAAUUACACUUCUACUUCCACUAGCUUUAAGGCAUCUUAAGUGUUAAAACUCAUCGUGUAAAACAAGAUACCUAAAAAUAAAUUUAAAAAUAUAUCUAACAGGAGGAAAAUAAUCUGAGAUGCUGAAUUUGGCAUUCAGAUUCCUACUUGCAAAAGAAAAACAAAAGCAAAAGCAAAACCCACAGCUUUCAUUUUCCAUUUAUGUACCCAAGAAAAACUAGCAUUGUCCACGUUGCCAUAGAAGAAACACAGGAGCUUCUUCAACGUGUGUUCUUAGGUACAUAACUUGGCACUUCUCCCUUGGUUUCCCUGGUCAUAGAAUGAAGGUAGAAAUGAGUAAUGCCCAGGGAGAGCAGGAAGCGCAGUAAUUAGCACAGAAGAGGCUUCACCAGCAGGAUACCACGCAGGCGAGCCCUCCCGAGAGAUGAAGCAAAGUGAGGAAAUUUUGUUCCAGGGUCAUGAGAAUUAUUUUCAGUAGCUUCUUUCCAUCUUCCCAGAGUCUUCUGCAGAGAUCAGCCCUCAUCUGAUCUCAAUUUCUCACGAACUGCCCUUUCAGCUCCUCCUCCUAUUGUGCUAUGUGAUAUGCCAGCUCCUCCUUCACCUUCUGCCAUGAUUGUAAGUUUCCUGAGGCCUCCCCAGAAGCCAAGCAGGUGCCAGCAUUAUGCUUCUUGACAGCCUGCAGAACUGUGAGCCAAUUAAACCUCUUUUCUUCAUAAAUUACCCAGUCUCAAGUGUUUCUUUAUAGCAAUGGGAGAAAGACCUAAUACACCUCCCCAGUGCCCAAGCCCCCUCCUGUUUUGGUGCCUGAGUGCUGUGACCCCACACUGCAAACCUACCACGUGUCAGUCAUGGCCCUGGAAGAUAACACAGAUGUCUCAUGUGGUCAGCAUAAAAACUCUUUGAGGAAGUAAUGCAUAGUUAUGUUGCCAAUCAGGGAAUUGAUACCUAGCAACUCCCUUAUUUCCUUUAAUCUUCCCUCAAUUCUUGCAACUCUAUCUUCUCUAAGAUCACCAAUGACUGCAAAGUAUGGUAGGAAACAUGCCAAACUGAUCAGUUAAUUUUUAUAAAAUACAUGUUUAGGUUUUCUGAAUAUACAAGUAAUACACAUCCUUUGAGAGGACAUAAAAACUACAACAAGAAUAUAGAUAAUUAUGAGAACACCUCUAAUCACACCAGAGAUGUAGCAACUCUGGAGGUGUGUUGCUUUAGUCUUCCUUCAAGAAAAAUCUUGCCAUUGAAGUGCAGUUAGCAGAUGGACUCCAGCUGUCAGCAUCUUCAAGACCCGCCUCAGUGUUGGAGAAGCCAUAUUCUUCCUGGAUGGCCCACAGCCAAUGAUUGAGUAUGCUGGGGAUACCAUGACUGAUCAAUUUCUGCCCAGUCUAAGACGAUUCUAAUGGGCAGUCUUCUCUUCAGAGUUCCCCUUGGGUUGGCAGGGGCCAGAAGACUUCACUGGAGUGUGAUGUUCCCUGUUCCAUGGGAAGACCUGAGGACACACUGUUUAUGAAGGCCAUUGGGAACGUGUGGGUGGAGGGGCACCAGCAUCACAGAGAAUUAACUGAUUACUUUUGGUAAAAAUGGGAGUAACUCUAAAAAAGAUUGUAUUUCAGUAGAAAACUAUAGUGCACCUGUUAUCAAAGUAUAGUCCUGCUCAUUUUCUUUGAGGUUUUAUCUCUCUGUGAAUUUAACUAAAUCUAUUGGAAGCCAAAAUAAAAUUGUAAGGCCCCCCAAUCAUCUGAGUGGACCUCUCGCCAUGGCCAAGGGCAUUCCAAAGUUGGUUCAGGCCAUGACACAAAAGGGGUGUUGAACCUGCCUCAUUAUACUCUCCUCCCUUCUGGAAUUCGGGAAAAGCUGAUCAGUAUUAACAUCAACACAGAUCCUAAGUCUGAUAAGGAACAUUCACAAUCUAUUCUCUCUUAAGCCUGCUAUCUGGAGGCUUCAUCUGCAUGAUGAAACUUUGGUCUCCACAGCCCCUUAUCAUCAUAACCCAGAUAUUCCUUUCUAUUGAUUCCAGGUCUUUGAUAAUAACUCUUUCAACCAAUUGCCAAUCUAACUGCCUUUCCAGAUGGAAGCAAUGUAAAUCUUACAAGUAUUUGAUUGACGUCUCACGUCUCCCUAAAAUGUAUAAAACCAAGCUCUACCCUGACCACCUUGGGCACAUGUUCUCAGCAUUUUCUGAGGGCUGUGUCACGGGCCGUUAGUCACUCAUAUUUGGCUCAGAAUUUCAAUUAUUUUACAGAGUUUCACUCUUUUCAUCAACAUGGGAAACAUUCAACUGCCGUCUUUAUUCCACUAUCUAAAGAUGCUUCAAUCUCAAAUCUAAAAUCUUGACUAGCUGCCUUUUGGCAGAUAAGAAAGACCGUAAUUUGCUUCAAAUGUUAACCUUUGUUUUUCUUUUGUUUUCGUAGAACAAUACUUUGAAUUCCGAUCAAGCAAUGCCAUCUGAAAUGAACAAUUUAGCCUCAACAGUACUCCAAAACAGAAAUUCUUGAUACCUUAACAACUUAAUAAGCAACAAGUUUGUGCUAUGAUGAAAAAAGUUGUUGCUAUGUUAAUAAAUUAGAAAUUGUUGACCUA